CUAAGAUUGGCUUUUUGCCCAGCUGAACGUUCCAUUUUGUGCCCACAGUUCUCCUGGAUUGAGAGAAAUCCGAGGGAAAAGUUCAUUUCCCUUGUCCCAGGUGCCCUGCAGGAGGAUUUCCAGCAAACCAGUUUCUUCUAAAAUUGGUGUUAAAAUUUCUCAUAAACUCUGCAAUAAAAAGCAAAAAAUGAGACUUGAGAGAUGAAUUUUGAUUGUAGAAGUUCUGACCAGAAAAAGCUGUUGAUGAUUUCUCUGAAUCACAACCUGGGGAGAAGCUGAUCAGAAAAGGUAAUAAAAUCAUUCCUAAAGAGAGCAAAAACAUAA